rnacentral:tRNA from 2 species
CGGGAUGUAGCUCAGCUGGAUAGAGCGACAGCCUUCUAAGCCGUAGGUCAAAGGUUCGAGUCCUUUCAUCCCGA